rnacentral:rRNA from 1 species
UACGAAGGGGGCUAGCGUUGUUCGGAUUUACUGGGCGUAAAGCGCACGUAGGCGGAUUGUUAAGUGAGGGGUGAAAUCCCAGGGCUCAACCCUGGAACUGCCUUUCAUACUGGCAAUCUCGAGUCCGGAAGAGGUGAGUGGAACUCCUAGUGUAGAGGUGGAAUUCGUAGAUAUUAGGAAGAACACCAGUGGCGAAGGCGGCUCACUGGUCCGGUACUGACGCUGAGGUGCGAAAGCGUGGGGAGCGAACAGG